GGUUAAGCGACUAAGCGUACACGGUGGAUGCCCUGGCAGUCAGAGGCGAUGAAGGACGUGCUAAUCUGCGAUAAGCGCCGGUAAGGUGAUAUGAACCGUUAUAACCGGCGAUUUCCGAAUGGGGAAACCCAGUGUGAUUCGUCACACUAUCAUUAACUGAAUCCAUAGGUUAAUGAGGCGAACCGGGGGAACUGAAACAUCUAAGUACCCCGAGGAAAAGAAAUCAACCGAGAUUCCCCCAGUAGCGGCGAGCGAACGGGGAGGAGCCCAGAGCCUGAAUCAGCAUGUGUGUUAGUGGAAGCGUCUGGAAAGGCGCGCGAUACAGGGUGACAGCCCCGUACACAAAAGCGCAUGUGCUGUGAGCUCGAUGAGUAGGGCGGGACACGUGGUAUCCUGUCUGAAUAUGGGGGGACCAUCCUCCAAGGCUAAAUACUCCUGACUGACCGAUAGUGAACCAGUACCGUGAGGGAAAGGCGAAAAGAACCCCGGCGAGGGGAGUGAAAAAGAACCUGAAACCGUGUACGUACAAGCAGUGGGAGCACAGGUUUACCUGUGUGACUGCGUACCUUUUGUAUAAUGGGUCAGCGACUUAUAUUCUGUAGCAAGGUUAACCGUAUAGGGGAGCCGGAGGGAAACCGAGUCUUAAUUGGGCGUUAAGUUGCAGGGUAUAGACCCGAAACCCGGUGAUCUAGCCAUGGGCAGGUUGAAGGUUGGGUAACACUAACUGGAGGACCGAACCGACUAAUGUUGAAAAAUUAGCGGAUGACCUGUGGCUGGGGGUGAAAGGCCAAUCAAACCGGGAGAUAGCUGGUUCUCCCCGAAAGCUAUUUAGGUAGCGCCUCGUGAAUUCAUCUCCGGGGGUAGAGCACUGUUUCGGCUAGGGGGCCAUCCCGGCUUACCAACCCGAUGCAAACUGCGAAUACCGGAGAAUGUUAUCACGGGAGACACACGGCGGGUGCUAACGUCCGUCGUGAAGAGGGAAACAACCCAGACCGCCAGCUAAGGUCCCAAAGUCAUGGUUAAGUGGGAAACGAUGUGGAAGGCCCAGACAGCCAGGAUGUUGGCUUAGAAGCAGCCAUCAUUUAAAGAAAGCGUAAUAGCUCACUGGUCGAGUCGGCCUGCGCGGAAGAUGUAACGGGGCUAAACCAUGCACCGAAGCUGCGGCAGCGACGCUUAUGCGUUGUUGGGUAGGGGAGCGUUCUGUAAGCCUGUGAAGGUGUGUCGUGAGGCAUGCUGGAGGUAUCAGAAGUGCGAAUGCUGACAUAAGUAACGAUAAAGCGGGUGAAAAGCCCGCUCGCCGGAAGACCAAGGGUUCCUGUCCAACGUUAAUCGGGGCAGGGUGAGUCGACCCCUAAGGCGAGGCCGAAAGGCGUAGUCGAUGGGAAACGGGUUAAUAUUCCCGUACUUGGUGUUACUGCGAAGGGGGGACGGAGAAGGCUAUGUUGGCCGGGCGACGGUUGUCCCGGUUUAAGCGUGUAGGUGUGUGUUCCAGGUAAAUCCGGUUCACUUUAACACUGAGGCGUGAUGACGAGGCACUACGGUGCUGAAGCAACAAAUGCCCUGCUUCCAGGAAAAGCCUCUAAGCAUCAGGUAACAUCAAAUCGUACCCCAAACCGACACAGGUGGUCAGGUAGAGAAUACCAAGGCGCUUGAGAGAACUCGGGUGAAGGAACUAGGCAAAAUGGUGCCGUAACUUCGGGAGAAGGCACGCUGACACGUAGGUGAAGUGAUUUACUCAUGGAGCUGAAGUCAGUCGAAGAUACCAGCUGGCUGCAACUGUUUAUUAAAAACACAGCACUGUGCAAACACGAAAGUGGACGUAUACGGUGUGACGCCUGCCCGGUGCCGGAAGGUUAAUUGAUGGGGUCAGCGCAAGCGAAGCUCCUGAUCGAAGCCCCGGUAAACGGCGGCCGUAACUAUAACGGUCCUAAGGUAGCGAAAUUCCUUGUCGGGUAAGUUCCGACCUGCACGAAUGGCGUAAUGAUGGCCAGGCUGUCUCCACCCGAGACUCAGUGAAAUUGAACUCGCUGUGAAGAUGCAGUGUACCCGCGGCAAGACGGAAAGACCCCGUGAACCUUUACUAUAGCUUGACACUGAACAUUGAGCCUUGAUGUGUAGGAUAGGUGGGAGGCUUUGAAGUGUGGACGCCAGUCUGCAUGGAGCCGACCUUGAAAUACCACCCUUUAAUGUUUGAUGUUCUAACGUGGACCCGUAAUCCGGGUUGCGGACAGUGUCUGGUGGGUAGUUUGACUGGGGCGGUCUCCUCCUAAAGAGUAACGGAGGAGCACGAAGGUUGGCUAAUCCUGGUCGGACAUCAGGAGGUUAGUGCAAUGGCAUAAGCCAGCUUGACUGCGAGCGUGACGGCGCGAGCAGGUGCGAAAGCAGGUCAUAGUGAUCCGGUGGUUCUGAAUGGAAGGGCCAUCGCUCAACGGAUAAAAGGUACUCCGGGGAUAACAGGCUGAUACCGCCCAAGAGUUCAUAUCGACGGCGGUGUUUGGCACCUCGAUGUCGGCUCAUCACAUCCUGGGGCUGAAGUAGGUCCCAAGGGUAUGGCUGUUCGCCAUUUAAAGUGGUACGCGAGCUGGGUUUAGAACGUCGUGAGACAGUUCGGUCCCUAUCUGCCGUGGGCGCUGGAGAACUGAGGGGGGCUGCUCCUAGUACGAGAGGACCGGAGUGGACGCAUCACUGGUGUUCGGGUUGUCAUGCCAAUGGCACUGCCCGGUAGCUAAAUGCGGAAGAGAUAAGUGCUGAAAGCAUCUAAGCACGAAACUUGCCCCGAGAUGAGUUCUCCCUGAGACUUAGAGUCUCCUGAAGGAACGUUGAAGACGACGACGUUGAUAGGCCGGGUGUGUAAGCGCAGCGAUGCGUUGAGCUAACCGGUACUAAUGAACCGUGAGGCUUAACCUUAC
rnacentral:rRNA from 1 species